AACCAGGAAGCCGGUGCGAAUCCGGCACGGUCCCGCCACUGUGACCGGGCCCCCUCCCACGCGGACGACUCCCCAGCGGAAGACGUCGCACCGGAGGGCGGCCCGGAAGUCAGGAACUG
rnacentral:ncRNA from 2 species